CACUCAGAGAGAAACAAUGCGUUUUAUCAUAGGGCCAGACAGCUACAUGCACAAGAUGCUACCUGCAGAGAGUGGUUUUUGCCCAGAUGUGCAAGACAGAUGCACAGAGAGGAAGAAAUGCAUACAGGUGUGCAGGUUUUGGCAUGUGCACAAGAAGCCUGGAAGAAUUUUCUUUGGAUCUACAGUCAAAAUGGAUUUCCAAGAGGAAGAGGUCUGAACACACACCUCUUCCCUGUGCUACAUUCGGUCUCAUCUCCGCCAGCCAGGUUUUCAGGAAAGUGAUCAGCACUGGCUUCAGCUCUGGCUAGAGCUCUUUGGCCAAUGUGAUGGGCAGAAAACUGGAAUGAGGACAGAAAAGCACCUCAGAGGUUUGGAGAGUCGAGUCUCUCACCACCUUGCUCCUGAGACUUAUUUGAAUGCCUGUUUCAUAUUGAGCUUUUAAGUAUAACAUUUGUGAGUGAAAUUGCCCCUUUUAUUUUCAAGGGCUCCAAGUUUGCUUCUGGAUGGAAAGGAAGAUGGACUAGAGCUGAUAUCCCCUGCACCCUGGUGAAGAAAUGCACCCUGAGGCCAGAAAAUAGUAUAAACCCAUCUGGCGGCAACAUCCCAGCAGCUUGAAGAGCAAAGUCACGUAGUAGAGCCAGAGAGAAAUUUGCCCUGGGCCUGAUAUUCAUGAAGGCUUUCCAAUUCAGACUCGAUAUCAUUGCCGAGUCAGUGUGUUUGGGAGAAAUCAGAAGCCAACACACUAGAAAAGUUGCAGGAGAUUCCUAGGGGAACCCACAAAGUCAGUUCCUUGCCGGAAACCUAUUCAUCCUCCAGAUGAAUCCAGUGCAUUGGAUGGGCUCAGAUGCACAGGUGACGCAGGCAGACCCCUACUGAAAAGAACAACAGUGGAAGGCAGAUGAAACUCAGAUUGUGGAGUCCGAGAGCCAUGUGGGCCCACUCCAGUUACCUCCACCCAUGGUCCGUGACCAGAGAAUCCUUCAGCAGCAACAGCAGGGAUGUUUAUUUCACUGAUAUGUAUAAAGCGACGGACUGAAAACAACUUGCAUGCCCAACAGCUUGGAACUGGAUAAAUAAUUUUUGGUUCAGUCACACAGUGGAAUAUCAUGCGGCCAUUAAGAAUAAAUAAAAAAUCCUAUACUGUCCAUAUUCAACUUUAAACUGAAAAUAACUGAACAAACACCUUCAUAAUCAGGCUCCCUGACAUUGGAACAUGAAGUGAAGUCCACGUGUGUCAGAAUGUUAACAACAGCUAACUCUUGGUUGUGAUAUUCUGAGUAACUUGUAUUAUUUUUCAGAUUUUCUCCCCAUUCCUGAUGUGCAAAUGUACUAUUUUUACUGU